rnacentral:rRNA from 1 species
ACACUCCUACGGGAGGCAGCAGUGGGGAAUAUUGCACAAUGGGCGCAAGCCUGAUGCAGCCAUGCCGCGUGUAUGAAGAAGGCCUUCGGGUUGUAAAGUACUUUCAGCGGGGAGGAAGGCGAUAAGGUUAAUAACCUUGUCGAUUGACGUUACCCGCAGAAGAAGCACCGGCUAACUCCGUGCCAGCAGCCGCGGUAAUACGGAGGGUGCAAGCGUUAAUCGGAAUUACUGGGCGUAAAGCGCACGCAGGCGGUCUGUCAAGUCGGAUGUGAAAUCCCCGGGCUCAACCUGGGAACUGCAUUCGAAACUGGCAGGCUAGAGUCUUGUAGAGGGGGGUAGAAUUCCAGGUGUAGCGGUGAAAUGCGUAGAGAUCUGGAGGAAUACCGGUGGCGAAGGCGGCCCCCUGGACAAAGACUGACGCUCAGGUGCGAAAGCGUGGGGAGCAAACAGGAUUAGAAACCCCGGUAGUCCCAUG